rnacentral:rRNA from 1 species
GUCGAGCGGUAGCACAGAGAGCUUGCUCUCGGGUGACGAGCGGCGGACGGGUGAGUAAUGUCUGGGAAACUGCCUGAUGGAGGGGGAUAAGUACUGGAAACGGUAGCUAAUACCGCAUAAUGUCGCAAGACCAAAGUGGGGGACCUUCGGGCCUCAUGCCAUCAGAUGUGCCCAGAUGGGAUUAGCUAGUAGGUGGGGUAACGGCUCACCUAGGCGACGAUCCCUAGCUGGUCUGAGAGGAUGACCAGCCACACUGGAACUGAGACACGGUCCAGACUCCUACGGGAGGCAGCAGUGGGGAAUAUUGCACAAUGGGCGCAAGCCUGAUGCAGCCAUGCCGCGUGUGUGAAGAAGGCCUUCGGGUUGUAAAGCACUUUCAGCGGGGAGGAAGGCGUURAGGUUAAUAACCUUMYCGAUUGACGUUACCCGCAGAAGAAGCACCGGCUAACUCCGUGCCAGCAGCCGCGGUAAUACGGAGGGUGCAAGCGUUAAUCGGAAUUACUGGGCGUAAAGCGCACGCAGGCGGUCUGUCAAGUCGGAUGUGAAAUCCCCGGGCUCAACCUGGGAACUGCAUUCGAAACUGGCAGGCUAGAGUCUUGUAGAGGGGGGUAGAAUUCCAGGUGUAGCGGUGAAAUGCGUAGAGAUCUGGAGGAAUACCGGUGGCGAAGGCGGCCCCCUGGACAAAGACUGACGCUCAGGUGCGAAAGCGUGGGGAGCAAACAGGAUUAGAUACCCUGGUAGUCCACGCCGUAAACGAUGUCGAUUUGGAGGUUGUGCCCUUGAGGCGUGGCUUCCGGAGCUAACGCGUUAAAUCGACCGCCUGGGGAGUACGGCCGCAAGGUUAAAACUCAAAUGAAUUGACGGGGGCCCGCACAAGCGGUGGAGCAUGUGGUUUAAUUCGAUGCAACGCGAAGAACCUUACCUGGUCUUGACAUCCACAGAACUUUCCAGAGAUGSWUUGGUGCCUUCGGGAACUGUGAGACAGGUGCUGCAUGGCUGUCGUCAGCUCGUGUUGUGAAAUGUUGGGUUAAGUCCCGCAACGAGCGCAACCCUUAUCCUUUGUUGCCAGCGGUUCGGCCGGGAACUCAAAGGAGACUGCCAGUGAUAAACUGGAGGAAGGUGGGGAUGACGUCAAGUCAUCAUGGCCCUUACGACCAGGGCUACACACGUGCUACAAUGGCAUAUACAAAGAGAAGCGACCUCGCGAGAGCAAGCGGACCUCAUAAAGUAUGUCGUAGUCCGGAUUGGAGUCUGCAACUCGACUCCAUGAAGUCGGAAUCGCUAGUAAUCGUAGAUCAGAAUGCUACGGUGAAUACGUUCCCGGGCCUUGUACACACCGCCCGUCACACCAUGGGAGUGGGUUGCAAAAGAAGUAGGUAG